CGACAACAAAACAAUACAAACCAUUACACUCAGGUCUUAUCAUUGUCACUAUGCCUUACAAUUACCUACGGAUUUCUUAAAAUCAAAUUCUGUAUGAGAUUGCCAUAUUUUUAAAAAGUCUGAGGAUUUGCCUUUCCUCUUGUAGUAAAUAUCAUCAAGUGUAAGGAGCGUGAGAGUUCGUUCCACCAAUGGGCUAAUACUGGGGGUUUAGAUUCUUUCCAAUUUAAGGUUAUACAUUUCCUGGCUGCCAACAUAGCAAGAUAAAUAUAUUUUUACACUUGGAAUUGCUGUUCCUUUUAUCCUUUUGAGCUAUACUUUAUUAGGAAUUCAGCACACAGUUGAGUGCAUUGUCUCCUAUUUAUUUUACUGGUAUGUAAUUCCAUUCUUAUGUGUUUAUGUAUGCUCAUCGAUGAUCCUGGUCAGAGGUUCAGGAAAAGGAGACGGCUCUGAUGAGGAAUAUAUUCCUCACCUUUGUUUAUGGACAACUUCAGACUUCGAGAACUUCCAAAAUCACAUCCUGAUGUUUGCAGGAAAGCAUUUUGGCUUUAGCCCACCUGUAUACACAGCUCAGACAUUGCUUGUAACACUUGGUUACAACCACCGCCUCCCUGCACGAAACCGUGAUGGGACACAAGAUUUACCGAUGGUUCUACAAUAAAAACAUGAAGAGCUGAAGUGUGUAUACCCUGAAAGAGAAAAAGGACUAUGGCUACUGUACAUCCCUGAACUACAGAAGGCCACUCUUUCAAAGAGGCUUCAGAGUGGAAAGGGCCUUCCCAGGAGACAGAGUCUGAGGCCUGGAGAUCCAAGGCCCCUGGGUCUGCUGCCACAUCACAACCACAACCACACAUGGACUGGUAAAAACUAAGGUGUCACGUGGAGAUGCAGGUCCUCGUGAUGACAGCUAAAACUUUGAUUGCCUGUUGUUAUAUCUGUCUCAAUACUCGGGAGCAAAGCUCCAGGAUUUCAGGACAGAGUAAAAUAAUUCACUGACAUAAUUUCUUGUUCAUGUCUUGUCACAAUCCCUAAAUAAAUGUAGCUGUAAUUGCAAAUGAUCUGAUUAUCAUAACCUAUUUUCUCAUAACUUCUCACUUGAAUCAAAAUCUCUGGGAGAUUCUCUGCAUUUGGUGUUUUUCACAAUGAAUAUAAUUCGGAAUCGGAAAGAUAUAUAUAUUUUUUAUUCUGUAAACAAGGACAGAACUCAACAUUUCUGACUUGUACAUAAUAAAAUGUAUAAAAAUAAAAACUAUUUACAUUGAAAGUGUAACCCAGCUAAACACUGUUAUUCACGCCAGCCAGUGCAAAAGAAAU